UCAUUUCGUUCGUGUAUAUUUUAGAAAUUAAGAAAUGAAAACUGUAACUGUACGAAGUUCAAUUUUUGUAUCGUUUAUAUGCCUUACGGAAAACCGACCUUUUCCGGAAUCGACUUUUGUUUUAUCACCGGAAAUGAUUUUGAAAUUUGAAUUUCGAAACGAUGGCAGGAUAUCAACAAAGAGAGCCAAGAAAAUUGUUUGUUACGCGAUAUAUACUCACUUGGUAAGAAUGAUUAAUCUGUUAAGAUGAAACUUGUGCAUUCAUUGUGUGUGUUCAAUCAUAAUCGGAACCAAAUUACAUCUGUUUGACUUUCUGGAGGUGCGGAUCAAUGUUUUGAAAAAAGGGGGGCCCCUGCCCAAGGCAAGCAAACGUUUGGAGUGAUACUUGUAAAUAGUCUAUACAUUUAUCUUAUAAGUAGCUCCAUAAGGGGGGUCGGGGCCCCUAAAUCCGCCACUGUUCAAGCAUCUACGUACAACAAUUAUGAAUUUGUUCUUUAAUAUAAAAAAAAUAUCAGGAUAUGUGGCUUGUGUGUUUGAUUGCCAAUACACCUUAUUGCUAUUUGUCCACCAUUACUGGCCAUGGACAUCACAAAAGUUCCCUUAAAAAGUUGCCGUCAUAUAAUAAUAUUUGACAUCACAAUUGAAGGUAAUACACCUUAUUGCUAUUUGUCCGCUAUUACUGGACAUCACACAACUGUCACGAGUUCCCUUAAAAUUUUGACGUCAUCAUAAAAAAUAUCUGAUGCCACAAUGGAAAAGUGAUAAGGUGUAUUAUUGUAUGAUGUAUGCUGACGUAAAAAGUUCAAGCGGGACAGAUUUCCAAAUACUGAAAUAGCGAUAAGGUGUAUGAGACAGCUAUCCACCAGAAUUUAAAUGACUUGGAUAAAAGAAAUUAUAGGUCACUGUACGGCUUUCAAAACUGAGAAAACCAAUGCCAUAUAGUCCACUUUGAAGCCUUGACAAACAAAUGUUAAAUUUUUCUCAACACAAUUGAAACAAAACAACUAACUGUCUACAUUAAAUACACAUUAUGAAAAAGAAAUUUGACAGACUUAAACCAACAACAACUAUUGCAACAAGCAUGACUCAAUAACUUGUUUCCGAAGCACACAAACAAGUUACAAUAACACUAAUAUAAGCACCAUUUGAAUAUGGAGAUUUUUUUUUUCUAGUAAAAUCAGUGUAUGUAUGUAUUUGCAAAACAGUAAAUUAAAUUUCCCUUAACAGCUUAAUGAACAUUACAAAGACUAUGUAAGACGUCAGUACAAGCAAAAUAAUAUAAACUGUUGCUUAAAAUUAUAUUUAUUGCUUCAUACACACAAUGUACAUACAAUGUAUCUUUUAUUUUUUAACAGGAGCUAAAAGAAAAGCCACAAAGGACAAGUUCAAUAUGCAGGUUUACAAUUUGGAAGUGGCGCAAGUUCUUUGGAAUGUCUACAACCUUUCAGGAGAAUUUUUUUUUGAAAAGUAUGGCACAGCAAGAAAAAGAUAUGACACUACAAGACAUUCCAAGUGAUUUUGAAUAAGACAAUUGAUUGACUUUUUCAAUGUAUUCUUAAAUAAAUCAAAUAGUUGAUGUAAAA